AUUGAACGCUGGCGGCAGGCCUAACACAUGCAAGUCGAACGAGUGGCGGACGGGUGAGUAAUGUCUGGGAAACUGCCCGAAGGAGGGGGAUAACUACUGGAAACGGUAGCUAAUACCGCAUACCAUCGGAUGUGCCCAGAUGGGAUUGGCUAGUAGGUGGGGUAAAGGCUCACCUAGGCGACGAUCCCUAGCGGGUCUGAGAGGAUGACCAGCCACACUGGAACUGAGACACGGUCCAGACUCCUACGGGAGGCAGCAGUGGGGAAUAUUGCACAAUGGGCGCAAGCCUGAUGCAGCCAUGCCGCGUGUAUGAAGAAGGCCUUCGGGUUGUAAAGUACUUUCAGCGGGGAGGCGUUACCCGCAGAAGAAGCACCGGCUAACUCCGUGCCAGCAGCCGCGGUAAUUC
rnacentral:rRNA from 1 species